UACAGAGGUCCCAAGCGUUGUUCGGAUUCACUGGGCGUAAAGGGCGCGUAGGCGGCCUGUUAAGUCGGACGUGAAAUCCCCGGGCUCAACCCGGGAACUGCGUCCGAUACUGGCAGGCUUGAAUCCGGGAGAGGGAUGUGGAAUUCCAGGUGUAGCGGUGAAAUGCGUAGAUAUCUGGAGGAACACCGGUGGCGAAGGCGGCAUCCUGGACCGGCAUUGACGCUGAGGCGCGAAAGCCAGGGGAGCAAACGGG
rnacentral:rRNA from 1 species